rnacentral:tRNA from 3 species
GCCGCUUUAGCUCAGUCGGUAGAGCAAUUCACUCGUAAUGAAUAGGUCAUCGGUUCGACUCCGAUAAGCGGCU